CAGGGUAGUCUUUGUGAGGAGUCACAGGACUGUUUGAGUUGAGCACGAUUCGGAUGAUCUAAUCAGGGUUAACAGUUUAACCCUGAGUCAUCCUAAACACAGAGGUCAAAAGGAUGAAUUAUACAGUAACCAUAUUCACAUAGGUUCUGAGUAUUGCGAUUGCAACCAUUCAUUCUAUCCGAUCAUUGGGUACCAUUGCUAGAUAGUCACUUCGAUUGGUACAGGAAUUGAUUCCUGUGCUAUUGGCUUAGGUUCGAACCUGUGGGGUCACACACAUUAAAGGUUCCUAUCUGAUCUGAUGGCUGAUAAAGAGUCCUAAUGCUCGUGGACUAUGAGUUCUACAUGUCUGAGACUCUGUGAUCGAGAAUCAGAAUUCUCUGAUCACGAGUCCCACACAUUUUGGGUACCGGGGUCAAGAGUCCCACUGGUUUGGGACUCUUUGAUCAGGG
rnacentral:lncRNA from 1 species